GCCAGUGAUGAUAUAAUCCAUGUUGUUUGAGGUGUUGCGGAUCCAAGACCCUGUCUUCACAGGGAGAACCUACUUGGUGAAGCUACAUUCCACCGGAUAUUACUGGAUUACACUGAGGC